rnacentral:rRNA from 1 species
UCUACGGGUGGCUGCAGUGGGGAAUAUUGGACAAUGGGCGAAAGCCUGAUCCAGCCAUGCCGCGUGUGUGAAGAAGGCCUUCGGGUUGUAAAGCACUUUCAGUGGGGAAGAAAGCCUUGGGGCUAAUACCCUCGAGGAAGGACAUCACCCACAGAAGAAGCACCGGCUAACUCCGUGCCAGCAGCCGCGGUAAUACGGAGGGUGCGAGCGUUAAUCGGAAUUACUGGGCGUAAAGCGCGCGUAGGCGGUCUGAUAAGCCGGUUGUGAAAGCCCCGGGCUCAACCUGGGAACGGCAUCCGGAACUGUCAGGCUAGAGUGCAGGAGAGGAAGGUAGAAUUCCCGGUGUAGCGGUGAAAUGCGUAGAGAUCGGGAGGAAUACCAGUGGCGAAGGCGGCCUUCUGGACUGACACUGACGCUGAGGUGCGAAAGCGUGGGUAGCAAACAGGAUUAGAUACCCGAGGUAGUC